rnacentral:rRNA from 1 species
CACUCCUACGGGAGGCAGCAGUGGGGAAUUUUGGACAAUGGGCGAAAGCCUGAUCCAGCAAUGCCGCGUGAGUGAAGAAGGCCUUCGGGUUGUAAAGCUCUUUUGUCAGGGAAGAAACGGUGAGAGCUAAUAUCUUUUGCUAAUGACGGUACCUGAAGAAUAAGCACCGGCUAACUACGUGCCAGCAGCCGCGGUAAUACGUAGGGUGCAAGCGUUAAUCGGAAUUACUGGGCGUAAAGCGUGCGCAGGCGGUUUUGUAAGUCUGAUGUGAAAUCCCCGGGCUCAACCUGGGAAUUGCAUUGGAGACUGCAAGGCUAGAUUCUGGCAGAGGGGGGUAGAAUUCCACGUGGAGCAGUGAAAUGCGUAGAUAUGUGGAGGAACACCGAUGGCGAAGGCAGCCCCCUGGGUCAAGAUUGACACUCAUGCACGAAAGCGUGGGGAGCAAACAGGAUUAGAAACCCCGGUAGUCCC